rnacentral:rRNA from 1 species
AGUGAACGCUGGCGGUAGGCCUAACACAUGCAAGUCGAACGGCAGCACAGUAAGAGCUUGCUCUUACGGGUGGCGCGUGGCGGACGGGUGAGGAAUACAUCGGAAUCUACUUUUUCGUGGGGGAUAACGUCGGGAAACUUACGCUAAUACCGCAUACGACCUACGGGUGCAAGCAGGGGAUCUUCGGACCUUGCGCGAUUGAAUGAGCCGGUGUCGGAUUAGCUAGUUGGCGGGGUAAAGGCCCACCAAGGCGACGAUCCGUAGCUGGUCUGAGAGGAUGAUCAGCCACACUGGAACUGAGACACGGUCCAGACUCCUACGGGAGGCAGCAGUGGGGAAUAUUGGACAAUGGGCGCAAGCCUGAUCCAGCCAUACCGCGUGGGUGAAGAAGGCCUUCGGGUUGUAAAGCCCUUUUGUUGGGAAAGAAAAGCAGCAGGUUAAUACCCCGCUGUUCUGACGGUACCCAAAGAAUAAGCACCGGCUAACUUCGUG